UGCAGCGUCGAUAGUAAGUUGAAAACACCAGUCCCCAAAGGACCACUAAAGUGAAGCAACGUUGCGCGUGGUUAGAACCCGGAUGGGUCAUUCUAGGCAAUCACGUGCUGCUGUCU
rnacentral:rRNA from 1 species